ACGGAGGGGGCUAGCGUUGUUCGGAAUUACUGGGCGUAAAGCGCGCGUAGGCGGCCUUUCAAGUCAGGUGUGAAAGCCCCGAGCUUAACUCGGGAACUGCACUUGAUACUGUUGGGCUUGAGACCGGGAGAGGAUAGCGGAAUUCCCAGUGUAGAGGUGAAAUUCGUAGAUAUUGGGAAGAACACCAGUGGCGAAGGCGGCUAUCUGGACCGGUACUGACGCUGAGGUGCGAAAGCGUGGGGAGCAAACAGG
rnacentral:rRNA from 1 species